rnacentral:lncRNA from 1 species
UUUUUCUUGAAUAUGUGAUAUUUUAAUGUAUUGGUGUAUUCGACUGUAUAUGUUUCAUGACAUAGUUCUUUUUAUUAAGGAAUGACUGUAUUAUUUUUUCUGUCUAUGAAGAAAUAACAUAAAAAAUGUGGUGCACACUGAAUAACGCGUGUAGCGGGUUAUUUAACAGUGUGCACCACAUUUUUUAUGUUAUUUCAAAUAGACAGAAAAAAUAUUACAGUCAUUUCUUAUAAUUUAAUUCUAAAUUCCUUUUUAAACCGUAGAAAACCUUGAAAAAACGUUAAUGCCGUCACGGUCACAUGACUAAAUUAUGUCUAUGGGCUCAUAACAAAAUAACGUCAGCCAAUCAAAAGACACGUUACAUCCAAAAUUAAAUUAUUUGUAAAUGUAUUAAUCUAGCAUUUUUCACAUUUUCUUUCUGUAUAAUGAUAGUUUAGCAGUCUAGCUAGAAAAAAUGUAAUGUAUAAUUUCAUAUAUUUUUUGUUCUCUUCAGAAAAACGAAUUGUAUAGUCUGUAGCUAAAUUAACUUGGUUUAAUUGAUGCUAUAGAAGUUCCUUUUAUUUUUUACGUACAAUUUCUAAUUUUAGUUCUAUUUAAUAUCUUUGAUUGCUACCUAAAUUUCUAAAUUUAUUUAAAUUUAAUUUAACUUCUUUCAUGUAAGUUCUUUUGCAAGUUUGUUAUUUUUCAAUUAAUUUAAAUUUUUUAAAACUUUUAAAUUAAAACCUGUCUCGUUGCUUGAGUAGUAGAUUGGUUCAUGUACAUUUACUGAAAAACAAAGAAUGUAAUAAAUCUUGUUUGUGUAGAAAAUUAGCAAAUGAUUAGAAAUUUUAUAUAGGUAUGCCCUCACCACAAACAUGUUAUGUGAAUCAUGUAUGAGUCAGACAAUGUUUCAUAACUUGCCACGGUGAAAGAAUAUGUAAUCAGAACAGGAAAUUUUUUAUAUGUAAGAUAAUUACAUUAGCUCUAUCAAUACUAUUAUAUAAAAUACAAUUAUAAUAGCACCAAACUUAAAGGGAAAAGUUCAUAUAGUUAAGCUGUAUAAAACUUAUAUAUAAUAUAAAGGCAGAAGAAGAAUAUUAUGCUUCAAUAAAUACAUGUAUAUACAAAACAUGUAUACAUAACUACCAUAAUUUAUUUUUGUCAUAUCUUAGUAAAAUUUCUUUUAAGCUGGCAAAAUAUUUGUUAAAAGAAAAUAGUAUAAAGAAUAACCAUGCAAUUCCACUACUUGUUUUAUAGAAUGAAAAGUUGCGGAUCAUAGUGGAGUGUUAAGAUUAGUAUUAAAGUUUUUUAAUUAAUUUUGGAUGUAACACGUCUUCUGAUUGGCUGACGUUAUUUUGUUAUGAGCCCAUAGACAUAAUAUAGUCAUGUGACGUCAUCAACGUUUUUUCAUGGUUUUCAACGGUUUAAAAUGGAAUUUAGAAUUAAAUUAUAAGAAAUGACUGUAAUAUUUUUAGCUCACCUGGCCCGAAGGGCCAAGUGAGCUUUUCCCAUCACUUGGCGUCCGUCGUCCGUCGUCGUUAACUUUUACAAAAAUCUUCUCCUCUGAAACUACUUGGCCAAAUUAAACCAAACUUGGCCACAAUCAUCAUUGGGGUAUCUAGUUUUAAAAAUGUGUGGCGUGACCCGGCUUACCAACCAAGAUGGCCGCCAUGGCUAAAAAUAGAACAUAGGGGUAAAAUGCAGUUUUUGGCUUAUAACUCAAAAACCAAAGCAUUUAGAGCAAAUCUAACACGGGGGUAAAAUUGUUUAUCAGGUCAAGAUCUUUCUGCCCUCAAAUUUUCAGAUGAAUCCGACAACCUGUUGUUGGGUUACUGCCCCUGAAUUGGUAAUUUUAGGGAUUUUUUGCUGUUUUUGGUUAUUAUCUUGAAUAUUAUUAUAGAUAGAGAUAAACUGUAAACAGCAAUAAUGUUCAGCAAAGUUAGAUUUACAAAUAAGUCAACAUUACCAAAGUGGUCAGUUGACCCCUAUAGGAGUUAUUGACCUUUAUAGUCAAUUUUUAACCAUUUUUCGUAAAUCUUAGAAAUCUUUUACAAAAAUCUUCUCCUCUGAAACUACUGGGCCAAAUUAAUCCAAACUUGGCCACAAUCAUCUUUGGGGUAUCUAAUUGAAAAAAAUGUGUCCGGUGACCCGGCCAUCCAACCAAAAUGGCUGCCACGGCUAAAAAUAGAACAUAGGGGUAAAAUGCAGUUUUUGGCUUAUAACUCAAAAGCCGAAGCAUUUAGAGAAAAUCUGACAUGGGUUAAAUUGUCUAUCAGGUCAAGAUGUAUUUGCCCUGAUAUUUUCACAUGGAUCGGAUAACCUGUUGUUAGGUUACUGCCCUGAGUUGGUAAUUUUAAGAAAUUUUGCCGUUUUUUGUUAUUAUCUUGAAUAUUAUUAUAGAUAGAGAUAAACUGUAAACAGCAAUAAUGUUCAGAAAAAAAAAAUCUACAAAUAAGUUUUUCAUGACCAAAAUAGUCAAUUGACCCCUUAAGGAGUUAUUGCCCUUUAUAGUUAAUUUUUAGCAUUUUUCAUAAAUUUUUGUAAAUUUUUAGAAAAUAUUUUCCACUGUAAUUACUGGGCCAAGUUCAUUAUAGAUAAAGAUAAUUGUAGCAACAAGAAUGUUCAGUAAAGUAAGAUCUACAAACACAUCACCAUCACCAAAACACAAUUAUGUCAUGAAUUUAUCUGUGUCCAUUGUUUAAUAUGCACAUAGACCAAGGUGAGCGACACAGGCUCUUGAGAGCCUCUAGUUUCUGUCUAUUCGAAAUAACAUAAAAAAUGUGGUGCACACUGUUAAAUAACCUGCUACGCAGGUUAUUCAGUGUGCACCACAUUUUUUAUGUUAUUUCUUCAUAGACAGAAAAAAUAUUACAGUCAUUCCUUAAGUGAAAUUGAAAUAUUAUUACUAUUCUAGUCGGUGUGUUCUAAAAUGUCUCUUGUAUUUAUUUUUCAGGCAUGAGAUAUUACACAGUUUUCAAAUUAGAGGAUAAAGAGGUACAGGCUUAUUGCUUUUAAGAAUUUAAAAUCUUUCACUGGAAGCAAGUAUUUUGACACAAAUUUGCUUUUCCUGCCCCCAUUACAACUGAAUAUUCUAAUAGAAAAUUGAAAGUUGUCCGUUUAUAUGUAAUAUUCAAAUGUGUUAUUUAAUUAAUAUGGAAGGUUUUUAUUGUCUGUCUGUAUGCUAUAUUUUUGGGGAUCAAUUAAGUAAUCUGUCUUCUAUCGACUCUGUUUUGGAUCUCUUGAAUCAGCUUGAAUUUAGAUACUGAAUGACCAGUAAUAUCAACAAGUAAACAGUUGGUGACAUAAAAAAAACUACUAUAUAUUUACAAUUCAAAUAGAGAGGACAUGUACAAUUUUUGAACUGAAAACAAAUUAAAAGUAUAAGGAAUAGAAUUCAGAAUGUGAAUACUUUUAAACUGUAGCCAUAGAUUUGUAAGGUAAGGGAGAUAACAAUGAGCUAUUAUCUCCCUUUGUUUCUUGAUUGUUAAAGGUUUUUUUUAAAUAUAUAUUGUUAAGGCAGAUGUUAUUUAUAAGUUACAUUACAAUGUACAUAUAUUGUUAAACUUUUUGAGAUAUAUUUAUGUUGUACUUGGCAUUUUUAAAUGUAUUGAUUAAGUCUUCCAUAACUAAAUGUUAAUGAAAUCAAAAACCGUCUUCAGAUAGAAACAAUGAAUAGGCCAAAUAAAAUUAUAAACAAGGUUCAAACUACCUAAAAACAUCCGUUACUUUUUGGAAGUUAGCACUUUAAGUUCACAAGAUGAAAUUUGUAUAUUUGAUGGUAUUUCAAAUAAUGAAUUUAAAAAAAAUAAUAAUUUUCUAUAACCCUUUAUUUCAGUAAUGUAUAAAAUACACCUCACAUUUGAUUUUAUUGGGCCAUACUCUUUCUUAUAGGUAAUAAACAACAGAUUGCAUGUAAGUUAUUGUUGUCAUUUGCUUGAUUAUAUUUAUUAUACUUCUGAAAUGUUCUUGAUAUAAAAUGGCAAAUGUUUUUUUUCUGUUUUUUAAAACUCUUUCACCAAUAACAGGUCAUAUAGAAUUUACAUUGUGAUGUUUCCAUGGCAACGACCAGGGAUUACUUUAUAUUACUUAUAAUAAAAAAAUUCUAUUUAUUUAGAUCUUUAUUUACUUUUUAAAAUUUUUAAAUGAUUUUUCCAAGUUCUUUGGUUUUUUUUAUACCACGCACAGCAAUGUAAAUAAAAUUUUCUUUUAAAAACUGUACUGGUCCAGUAAAUAUACUCCUUAAAAAAGGAUGGAAAUAUAUUUAGAGGGAUAUCUAACAACAUAAAAGUAAGACAGACAAUUUAAUGGCAGUAAGAAGGUAAAAGGCAAACAGACAACAACAGUCAAUGAUAAACACUAAGGCAACCAACAACAGUCCACAUACAACACUAUGGUGGCAAAUGGCAAACAACAACAGUCCACAUACAACACUAUGGUGGCAAAUGGCAAACAACAACAGUCCACAGACAACACUAUGGUGGCAAAUGGCAAACAACAACAGUCCACAGACAACACUAUGGUGGCAAAUGGCA